rnacentral:rRNA from 1 species
AUUGAACGCUGGCGGCAGGCUUAACACAUGCAAGUCGAGCGGGGGAGGUUGCUUCGGUAACUGACCUAGCGGCGGACGGGUGAGUAAUGCUUAGGAAUCUGCCUAUUAGUGGGGGACAACAUUCCGAAAGGGAUGCUAAUACCGCAUACGCCCUACGGGGGAAAGCAGGGGAUCUUCGGACCUUGCGCUAAUAGAUGAGCCUAAGUCGGAUUAGCCAGUUGGUGGGGUAAAGGCCUACCAAGGCGACGAUCUGUAGCGGGUCUGAGAGGAUGAUCCGCCACACUGGGACUGCGACACGGCCCAGACUCCUACGGGAGGCAGCAGUGGGGAAUAUUGGACAAUGGGCGGAAGCCUGAUCCAGCCAUGCCGCGUGUGUGAAGAAGGCCUUUUGGUUGUAAAGAACUUUAAGCGAGGAGGAGGCUCUUAAGGUUAAUACCCUUGAUGAGUGGACGUUACUCGCAGAAUAAGCACCGGCUAACUCUGUGCCAGCAGCCGCAGUAAUAC